rnacentral:rRNA from 1 species
GACGAACGCUGGCGGCGUGCUUAACACAUGCAAGUCGAGCGGUAAGGCCUUUCGGGGUACACGAGCGGCGAACGGGUGAGUAACACGUGGGUGAUCUGCCCUGCACUUCGGGAUAAGCCUGGGAAACUGGGUCUAAUACCGGAUAUGACCUCCUAUCGCAUGGUGGGUGGUGGAAAGAUUUAUCGGUGCAGGAUGGGCCCGCGGCCUAUCAGCUUGUUGGUGGGGUAAUGGCCUACCAAGGCGACGACGGGUAGCCGACCUGAGAGUGUGACCGGCCACACUGGGACUGAGACACGGCCCAGACUCCUACGGGAGGCAGCAGUGGAGAAUAUUGCACAAUGGGCGAAAGCCUGAUGCAGCGACGCCGCGUGAGGGAUGACGGCCUUCGGGUUGUAAACCUCUUUCAGCAGGGACGAAGCGCAAGUGACGGUACCUGCAGAAGAAGCACCGGCUAACUACGUG